GCCCUAAUAGCUUAAUGGAUAAAGCGCUUGUCUUCGGAACAAGUGAUGGAGGUUCGAUUCCUUUUUAGGGCGCCA
rnacentral:tRNA from 1 species